UACGUAGGGGGCAAGCGUUGUCCGGAAUCAUUGGGCGUAAAGAGCGUGUAGGCGGCCUGAUAAGUCGGUUGUGAAAGUCAAGGGCUCAACCCUUGAAUGCCGACCGAUACUGUCAGGCUAGAGUCCGGAAGAGGCGAGUGGAAUUCCUGGUGUAGCGGUGAAAUGCGCAGAUAUCAGGAGGAACACCUAUGGCGAAGGCAGCUCGCUGGGACGGUACUGACGCUGAGACGCGAAAGCGUGGGGAGCGAACAG
rnacentral:rRNA from 1 species